rnacentral:lncRNA from 1 species
GAAAAAUCAAAGAGAAAGUGUUGGAAUUCAAGGAUUUGAUCAAUCAAAGGUAAAAUUUCUUUGAUUUUGCUAGUGAUUUACCUUACCCAUGCAUUUUUCCUUAAUUUCCAUGGUUAAAUUACAUGUUUUCAUGAUGAAUUCAUGGCUGGUCAAAAUGGGUAUGGAGAGAGAAUGAUCUUGGAUUGGUUUGAUUUUUAGGUUUGUUAGUGUUUUUAGGUGAUUAAUGAUGUGUAGCAUUAAAACAAGUGAAGAAAACCACCAAAGGUUUGGAACCCAUCAAUAGCCGAAUUCUCUAAGUGAAUAAUGAGGAAGAAUGGGAUGUUAUUCUAGGUGAUUUGAUUAAGAAAUAAUAGUUUUUGGUGUAGAAAUUAAUGAAUUAUGGAGAGAAAAUUAAGGAGGAAAAAUCACGGAGUUAAUGUACCAUUGUUGGCCGAAAGUUCCAAGAAGAAAAGUAAAGAUAAAUUUGCUUAAUUGUGUGUUAAUUAGUUGUGCUUGGUGAAUUGAGGAAUUGGAAAAGAAAUGGAGCAAGUUGGAGUGAAAUUGGACACAUUGGCCAAUUUAUCGGAUGAAAAAUUGACUUAGGCCAAUACCGGGUCUAGAUGGCUACCCGUGCAUUUUUCAUUUCAUAUCAUGCAUAUAUAUAUCGAGCUUGAAAUAGCUUACGACUGUUAGACACAAUUUAAUUGGAAUAUGUGUCAUGGAUUAUGGCUAGGUGGUGAGCCAUUGGAUAUGGGUAAAGGACUGUACCCGCGGACUGAAAAUGUGAGUAUUUCUACUCCUAGAACUGUGAGUAAACCUAUUAUUGUCUGAAUUAUCUAAAGUGAUUUUUAUCCGAUUUUGUGAUUUUAUGAAAAAUGAGUUUAAAUGGUAAAUCUUUAUGUUUUAUAAACAAAAUGUGAUUUAAUAAAAUGAUUUCAUAAAAUUGUCUUGAAAUUGAAUGAUGGCUUUGAAAAUUUGAGUAAUUGGAGACCAUGUGAUUUAUUGUAAAUUAUGAUUUGAAUUAAAUGGCUUGCGAUAAAUUGGCAUGAUUGGCUGAAUUUAUACCUGUGUUGAAAAAUAUGAACUGUCUGUUUUGCCUUGAUAAAUUGGUUAGUAAUGUAAUUGCCAUGCUAUGCCAUUGAGAUUUGAUCAAUUGGUGGAUUAAAGAUUAGCUACUGCAGUGGUGGGGGGUUCCGUGGACCAGCCUAUUAGAGGGGCACAGUAAACUCCUUUAUAUUCUCACCUCGGUCGUAGAGACGCGUAGGGAUCUCUUGAGGUGGGCUUUUUGAGUGCACUUCACAUUAACCACCGUGUGAGAGUGAGCCUCAGCCAAUGCCAAGGAACGGCUAUGUGUCAGAUGCGAAAAUAUGUUUAUGGGUAUGGGACAUUUAACAGCCUUGGCGUUCUCAGUGGGAUACCUUGACGAAGGUACCCGUGAGAAUGAUUUUGGCAGGAGCCAAGUUUUGAGAAAUUCACGAGCCAUAUUGAUUAGUUGGUUGAAAUGAAUAUUCGUGUUGUGAAAAAUUUACUAAAAUGAACUAUUUUUAAUUGUCUCUCUUUACUCGCCUUUAGAUAGUUUAGAUGGUGUCUGUUUACUCACUGAGAUUAUAUAAUCAUAAUCUCACCCCUCUUCCUAUCUAUUUUUCAGGCUCAGGACAGUUUGUUGAUAGUUGAUUAAGGCGAGAAUUAAUCUCGGAGUUUCAUCUUAGAAAGUAAGGGUUCGUAGCCCUACACCUUCUUGGUCAGUUAAGGACCCACGUGUCACUGUACAAGAAAUUUUAUACUUCAGUUAUCUGAUUUAAAGUAUGUAUGAACAUAUUUAUCUUUUACACCAUGUUUUUGGCGGGUUUCGAUAUUUUUGAAGAAAAAUGACAAAAAUGCCUCUGUGAGCUAUAAAAUAAUAUUUUAUUGUUUUGAUUUGGAAACGACUUAUGAUUUCUUGAAAUGCGAAAUUUAAUAACUGUCGCUCACCGGGGAGAUGCGGAAGCUGAUGCUAAGCCUUGCGGGAUUUCGAUCGGUAUUCGGGGUAAUGAGUGCCUAUCGAGACGUCGCGGCAAUUGUCACGGGCCCGAUGGAAGUUCCGGGUCGUGACAUUAUUGCUUUAGUAGCGUGUAAUCCUAAAUAUAUUUUCUAAGAAAUAACGACUAAAUUUUUAAAUGGUUUUUUUUAAGAAAUUCGUGCACAGAAACAGAAGAAAAUGGGGAAACAAAAGAGGAAGUAAAGGUGUUCGCUAUGAGCUCAGACCAAGUCCUUUCCAGCUUGAACCUUGAAGACCAAAAAAUAGCUUGCAUCACAAAUUUAUUAUUAAAAAAAAUUGUAUUGAGUAUUUGAUUUAAUUAUUACUACAUGAUUUUUUUUUCAAAGAGUAAGAUUAUAAAUUUAUUUUCUUUCAAAUAAAAAACAUAAUUACAAAUGAUUUCAAUAACUUUAAAUAUAUUUGGGGUCAAGUAAAAGUAAACAAAAGUAAAAGCUUAGAAAGAUUGAACAAGUAUAGGGGAGACUGAGACAACAGAUACCUUUUUUUUUUUUUUUGUUACCUUAGGGAAGGAUUUAUAUGAUUGAAAAUGGUCGAAACGAGGAUGGAGCAAAUGCGGCGGAGAGCGAUGCAAAAGUGUACGUAGAAACUACAAGGAGCCCUUUUCAUGGCCCCAUCAUCAGAGACAGCGAGACACACUUUGGCUUUCGGGAUAUUGUUAAAGGCAUUUCCAAAACCAGCCACACAUGCAUGCCCCAUGAAAAUACCGCCAUUUCCUUUCCAAUUUUUUCAUUCUAGAAGACACCAAACAAAGAGUCUUCACUCAUCAGCUUGAUGUCACUACAAAUACCAAAACCUACUCUUCAUUAAUUUUCUCUUUUCUUUUUGUUUGGAGUUGAUAGUGACUCAACAAUUCACAUUCACCUUAUGACAUGAAACUCUUUCACUUCUUCACUUGAUUAAUUUUUCAUGUAAUAUAUUUCAAUAAAACCAUCGUAUCAACAAUGCUAGUAAACAACCUCAACGUAACAGAUUCUUCAUUUCCUAUAAAUCUACCCUUGUUAUCAUUUUCAAGAUUGAACCUUGAAGGUAAUGGUAGGUUUGAGAGACUACACCCCUGAUUUGGCCUAAUGUUUAUUGUGCUAAAUCUUUUGAUCCAUACAUCAAUUUCUUUACUAUUAUGACUAGAUGUCAUAUGACUCAUGCAAUGGAAUCUUGCUUUAUCUUUGAAAAAUAGUAUAAAAGGAAGACGACUAGGGAUUUCUUAGAAAAAACAAAAUGGAAAUUGAGGGGAGAGGGUGAGUGCAUUUUCCAAUAUAAUAUACAGUCCUAUUAAGUAAUAGUAAUAAUAAAAGAAUAAUAAGGUUCACUGAAAGUGCAUAUUGUCUUUUUAUGUGUUUGGAAUUUGUUUUCUUGGGUGGACCCACGGAAAGGUAACGUGCCCAAUAUUCAUAAUCCUCCUAGCUUGAGUGGUUUACAAUUGUCUUCCUCAUGACAAAGAAGUGUCGUUGAAAAGACAUGGUUUCGUGUGAAAUUAUUUGGUUUAUUAAUUAAUAUAUAAUUUUUUAUUUAAAAAAUAUAUUUUUAAUUUUUUCUUGAAUAAAAAAUCGGUUUCUUCUACUAAUAAUUUAUAAUAUUUAAAAAUAUAUAAAGCAUUUUCCUAAAAAAACUGAAUUUCAAAUAUUUUAAAAUUAAAUACAAGAUAAGAGAUCAAACAAGGAACAAUAAUAUAAUGUUUUUUUGAAAUAUAGGUACAAUAAUACAAUUAUUAGGGGACGUGUAGUAUGUUGCAUGUGGGACACUUUUCUUAUCAUUUAAUUGGGUGCAAAAACAUCCCAACAUUUAGUUAAAAAAAAAAAACAAACCAAGGGGAAGUACUCCCAUGGUAAUCUGCUUCACCGAUAUAAUCUAAAUUUAUCUUUGCAGAGGGAAGGAUAGAACAUUUUCUUUUGUUUCAAAUUAUAUAUCCUAGCCGUAGCCCGACCCUCUCUUCUUCGCCGCUCCUAGAAACCAUUUAAACUUUAGCAUUAAAUACAUGACGUUGAAUUUAGAGAUUAAGUAAGGGUAGCCAAGCUUCACAUAUUUUAGCCUUAGUGAAAGAAGAAAAUUUGGAGAUUGUUUGAUCUUCUUUCUUCUGAUGAAGCAGCCUGGACUUUUACAGGCUCAGGAUUCGAGCUUUGCCUACUUUCUGCUACCAUUUGUUUUGCUAUGAAACAAACCCAAUAUGAAGCCUCAACAGAAACCCAGAUAAAAACGUUGCUGAAAAUCAAGAAAUUAAAAUUUUGAUUUAAAAAAACUCAACAAAAAUUGGCAGUUUUUUCAAUUAUUUGGUGUUUGAACUAAGUUUGGGUUAAUUUAAUAUGACCAUAAUUAUUAGUUUGAAUCUUAUUUGUUUAAUCUAUCUUUAUUUUUUAUAUUUUUUAUUUUAAACAUUUUAAAUAUAAGCUUGUUCCUACUAUUAUUAAAAGCAUUUGUUAUUUAUUUUUUUUAAAAAAAAUCAUUAGUCAAAGAAGUUCAAAGACAAAAAAUUAGAAAACUCUUUGGGUAAUGUUUGUUUAUUAUUCUUGUAAUAAUUCUAGGCAUUAUUACAAAAAUUAAUUAUUUUAAAUAUUUAUAUGUAUUAAUUAUAAAAACAAAAAAUUAAUAACUUAACAUAUUUUAAUAUUUAAAUAAUUAGUAUUCAAAUAUUAUGUUAUUAUUUCAUAUUAUUAUUUACUAGUUUAAAGGAUAAAAUUUGAAAACUUAAAAAGAAUGUAAGUUUAUUCAACUUUAUAUUAUUAUACAUAAGGAUAAUUCUAUAAAUUUACACUACAUUCUCAGUAAAGUACUUCCAAACCAAACACUGUAAUGUAAUAUUCUCAGCAAUCACAUUCCUUGCAAUCAUCACUUUCACAUGUAUACCAAAAGCUGUAAAGUUAUCUUCUCAGCAAUCACAUUCCUGUCAAUCACAUACCCAACAAUCACAUUUCUAGUAAAACACCAAAUGCCACCAUAGUUUCUAAUUGUUGCCCAAAUUUGUACCUCUUUUUUAGUUAAUCUUUUACCAAAUCAAUCAUAUAUUCAAUAUCAUGUUAUUCUUGUCAUGUAUGUAAAGUUUUAAAGUAAUUUUGUAUUUGUAUCAUAGUUUAAAAUUUUAUAAUUUUUUUUUGCUAAUUUGUAUUAAAAAAUGGCUGCUCUUAAGCUAAGAAGUUGGUAGGUGCCGUUGUCACAAGUUGAUGACCUAAGCACCUUAUUGUGCGACCUUAAACACCCCUAACACACCCUGGCUAACCUAAAUAAACCUAGAAAUUUCAUUUUCGUCCCUUGGAUGGAACACAUACCAUAAUAAAAGAGUAGGAAUGAGGCAAAAAAUGCAUAUUCAUAAGUAAAAAAUGUAUAAGAGAAACUUCAUUACAAUCUAUACACUAGUUGAGGGGAGGAAAGACCCACUUACAGCACCACUUGCCCCCAAAAGGAAGAAGGGUUCCUUUUAUAGCCACAGGGAACCCAUUUAAAAUGGUUUAAAACUUUGAAGCUCAAACUCAAAUGCCCCUAAUGGCUCUCCAAUGGUCUUCGUGUGUAAACGAGACUCCUAAGUCAUAGAAGCAAUGCACUGCCUAAAUUGUCCCUCAUUAGUUGUUACACAAUGUCCCUAUUUGCUUGGGUUAUGGCUUGGACCAUUUACUUGCACUACUUGUUGGUUUAUCCCUCUAGGUUGGCCCUUGGCUUUCUCCUUGUUACACCAUCAAAACAUCCCUAGGCCUAGCCCUCGAUUUGCUCCUAACUUGGUCCUUGUUUUACAAACCUUUGCUGCAUCACCAAAACAUCUUGGGUAUUGGACCUUGGCCUACUCUUAGCUUGCUCCUUGUUGUGUAGACCUUUACUGCACAAUAAAAACACCUUUAGCAUGGCAAAACUCACGGGUCGUGACACUUUCCCCCUCUCAAUCCAACAAUGCCUUUAGUUCUUGGGGAUGGUUGCCUUACUUUGCAUUUUGCUGACAUCGUAUGUUGUCAUGUCGCAGCUUUUACCUUAAGCCCCGUGGUCCGCACAUUGUUGCUCUUUGCGAUGUUACCUUAAAUGCUCUCAUCUUGCAUGUUGUCUUGUCGCAUAUUACUUCUUUAGGCAUCAUAUUCUCACUUUGUUGUUUCUAUUACGCCAGCUGAAGUUGCAGACUUGCUUCCCUUUACCCUAACAUUUUUUGUCGUACAAUAAUUCAGCUAGUCUCUAUGCUUAAGCUACAAGCUUGUUUCAUUUUACCUCGACCUCUUUAUUAUGUAGGCAUUUUGUUGAUUUUUGUUGCCUCUCCCUAAGGCUCCCUUGCCCUACGUGCUAUUACUACAAAGACCUUUUUGCCUUUAAUGCUCUCACUAAGUGCAUGUUGUCCCUUAACUCAUGUUGCUUCACUGGGUGCCUUUGACUUGGUGUGCUCUCACCUUUGGUACAUUCACAUUUGGUACAUCGCUUCAUUGGGCAUAUCUACCCUGACACAUUGGUCUUACCCUCAAGCGUUACUACUUUCACCCUUUUUGGGCUUAAAUGACUCCCAUGCUCUUAGGCUUGGAUUGUUACAUUCCUUUGCCACUGUUGGUUGCCUUUCUUGGGCUUCCUAGACAUGCUUCCUACACUCUUUUCCUUCUAGCUUUAGUAGUUUGUCACUAUUGACCUUGGUCACUCCUUGACCUUGUGACACUUUGUUGUCAUGUGCUAUUGACCCUUUUAAAGUGCUUAGGGGAUCUCACAACCCCUAGUUUAGGUUAUGGCACACCCUACCAUUGCAUCAGUCUUCCUAUGCCUCUUAAAUGGUGGCUCUUAGGACUUGCCCUUCUUAGUUGCCUGAGGGAUCCCACACUUGUUACUGAUAUUACACACAAGCAAGAGCACAUGUUGCACAAGUAAGAUAGUAGUAAGUAUCGUCUUCAUAAAGAAUUAUAUCUAAAUUCUUGCUAAAUAUUAAAAUUGGGCACCCUAAUCUUAUCCAAGUAAAUCUACUUUGAAAAGUAAUUAAAAACGAAAUUUAAAAUAACAAGGCUAAAUUAAGGACUUAAUGCUAAAAAUUACUAUUGGAUUAGUGAAGUAAGACUUAGGAUUGUGGAAUUACUCUACCUUUCAUUUGAAUUUGAUCUCCCUCUUUAUACUUAUAUCAAUAGGUUGGUUGUUAGUCUAGAGUCCAAAUUUAUCUACAAGUCUUUGUCGAGAUGUUGUAAACAUACCAAUCAUAAUUAAUUCUCCAUAUGUCUAUGUAAAUUAAUUAAGGUAAUAUAACUAAGCUUUAGCUCUAAAUUUGGCUGCACAUUGUAUUUAGGUAUAUUCCUAUCCUAAAUACUAAUAAAAUCAAUUAAGCUCUAAGUGACGAGAACAUAUGCUAUUCAAGCUCUUGAUUUAUUCUAAACUCCCUUUAUCAAGUUGCAUUUAGAGACCCAACUCAAUCAAAUUGUUGAUCAAGCAAUUAGAAGCAAAAAGCAUAGAUUUGAAAUAAACAACACAAAGCUAAUUAAUAAGAAGUAAAAGAGAGUUAAAAUAUUCAAACUACAUGAAAAGCUCAACCACAAUCCUAGAAAAAGAUAUUUAGCUCAUCAUAUUUACAACAAAGUUUAAUAUUCUCAAACAACAAAUCAUUUCUACAAUAAAAAGUAGAGAGAGAAAGAGAAAACUAGUGAGAGAAUGAGUUGCUGUAGCUAAUGAAACCCCAAUCUUCCUUGAUUUCUCCCUCUUUCCUCUUUUGUAGAAAAUUGCUCUUUUUUUUUUUUUCUCUUGAAGGCUACUAUGAUGUUUGGCUUUUUAGCCCUAAAAGGCUCUUUUAAACUCCUCUAAAUAACCCUUCGAUUUAAAAGAUCAGAGGGUGUAGAUUAACUAGGUUAAGCAUUGGCGCUAUGGCGCCAACCUCCUAGCACCGCGAUGUCGAGGCUGUUGCCUUGGGGUGACUUUGUUGAUUGGGAUGGUAUUGUGGCGUUGAGUGCAUGGCGCCGCAACAUUGAAGCUACUAUCCUAUAGCUUGCUUGGCUGAAUAGAGGCAGCGUUGCUACACCUAGUGCAUGGCGCCGCAAUGCUGAAGCUGCUGUGUUGGUGUUCUAUGCCUUCUAGCCUCAAUGUUAUCCCCAAUCCACUUCAGUCACUUCUCGCGUGAUUUUGGCUAUGAUCCAAUCGAAGCUAGGUGAAGUGAUAAACACAAAAGUAGCAGACUUUUCGCUUAGCUUUCCAGUGGUCCAAAAAUCAUGACACUCGGACAUUUGUAGCUUGAAUUGCAAUCAAGACACCACAACAUAUGUAUUACACAUUUACACCUAUCUAACAUAGAAUAAUACAUUACCGUUUCAACCCUUUUCAUUUGUGAACCUUCAAAUCAAGGAACUAAAUCAAUAGCAACUAAAAUUAAACAUUUUAACAUACAAAUGAACUAAAAUAAUUGAAAUUAAAUUAACUCAACAUGCUUUUAUUAAUUUAAAGAAAAACAACUAAAACAACUUAAACUACACCUAAAACUCAAGAACUUAGCCAUUUUAAUGCCUAAAAUGUGACAACAUAACUCUAUGUAAUAGAGUUAUCACACCCCUUAGAUCUGAUGCUGGGUCUCUUGCCAUUCUCGCCUCUUGUCCUCUUGGGUUGAGCUUUCACUCUUUUUUAUGUUGCCAACUCUGAUACCACUUGUCAUAGGGGAGCUACUUAAGCACCUUACCGUGCAGCCUUAGGCACCCUUCACACACCCUUAGUGCCAUAAGUCAACUCAAAAAAUUCCCUUUCCACCUCUUAAAUGAGACCAACAAACUGGAUGCGAGCACACAUAUACAACAUAAGAGUGAAGCAAAUAGUGUAUAUUAAAAUUAUGCAAAUUUACAAAAGAAACCCUUUUACAAUUAAUAAACCGGCUUUGAUGAGGGAAGGGGAUGGGGAAGACCCCUCUUACCACCCCUAGAUGGCUCCCAACGAUUAAGAGCCUUAGAGAUCAAAUUAAAGCACCCUCAACAACUCCUUAACAAUCUUGGUAUGCUAGAGAGGUUCUAUAAUUAUUGGAGCAGCGCACUACCAAGAUUACCACGCAUUAGUCAUUGUACAAUGUCUUUGUCAGCUUAGGUUGUGGCUUGUGCUAUUGACCGGCUUGGCCCCCUAAGCUAGCCCCGAGCUUGCUCCAUGUUGUGUAGACCCUUACUACACCACCAUAACACCAUGAGCCUAGCAAAACUUACACACUAUGACACCUUGCCCAUUUUGGAUUUUGAAAUAUUUUUUCUAUCAAAAGAGAUAAAUCUUAAUUUUAAACAUGAUCCUUUACAAAAGCUCUAUAGUAUUUGUUAUCAAAACUUCAUAAUCUACUUUAAGUGUAAUGACUUAUUUGAUUUCUUGUAAUCCUUUUUUAUUAUGGCAUUUAACUUUUAAAUAAUGAAUUUAUCUUUUUAAUCAACCAUAAAUGAAUUAAUUUGCUAUAGUAAUUAUUGCUAUAAAACAUUACUUAAAAAAAAGUUUUAGUAGUUAUAUUUUGCACACAAAAUAAAUUUUGAAUGCACUUUUCGUCCUCCCUCCCUUUUUUCUUCUUUCUUCUUUUGUUUCAUAUCACUCAUUUAGUUUUUUCAAGAGCUAUAUUCUACAAUCGUUGAAGCUUACAAUUCUCCAUUUAAUAAAUGUAAAGCUAACAAUGGAUUGUUUUGCCAAACCUAAGGAGUUAAAGGUAUAGUAUUGAUAACUUUAUUACAUAGAGUUAUCUUGCUACAUUUUGGGCGCUAAAAUAGCUAAGUCCUUGAGUUUCAGGUGCAAUUUUAGGUAGUUUUCAUUACUUUUCUUUAAUUAGUUUAAAGCGUGUUGAGUCAAUUAAAUUCAAGUUAUUUUAGUUCAUUUGUAUGUUGAAGUGCCUAAUUUUAGCUGUUAUUGAUUUAGUUCCUUAUUUUUGAAAGUCCAUAAAGGAAAAGGGCUCAAGCGGUAAUGAAUAGUGCAAGUAUGGCUAGGUGUAGACUUUCACUAAAUAUGUUACGAUAUUUCAAGCAUAACCCUUGUUUCAGAAGUUCGAUCAAUGUGAUUCUUAAAUCACUUGAAACCUAAGAAGAAGGGAUACAACUUUCAUGUUCAUCACUUCACUUAGUUUUAAUUAGAUCAUGGUCAAAAUCACGUUGAAAAUAGUUAGACUAUUGCAAUUCUACACAAGGCAACUUAAAGGGCUAGCGCCACAGCCUCAAGAACUCCAAGGCCCCAGCACCAAGGAUGCUUGAGCAUCCCCAUACUUAGGCGCUAGCAAGUGCAUUUUACAUUUCUACGUUUUCCAAUUUUUAAAUCUUAAGGCUUUUAAAAGGGGUAUAAAUAAGACUUUUGGAGCUAAUAAAAGGAGGUUGGUCAAAGUAGCUUUUCAAAGGAAAAAGAACCACAAACAAAAGAAGAAAGGAGGAGAAAGAAAGCAAGAUCAAAGCUUCGAAAGCUACAAAAAUUUGUUUCUUUGUCUAGAUUUGUUCUCCUCUCACUUUCUUUAGUUGUAUUAAUAAUUUAUUUAUUGUAUGAUAUUUUCUAUGGAUAUUAUGAACUAAUUUGCUUAUUCUAGGUUUAUGGUUGAACUCAUUAUGUAAAUUUGAAUUUUUUUUAUUUCUUUUGCUUAUUAUCAAUGGGUAUUGAGUUGUUUGUUUCAAAUUUAUACUUAAUGCUUUUAAUUACUUGAUCAACAAUUAGAUUGAAUUAAGUGUCUAGAUGCAACUUGAAGAAGAGAGUUUAGAUUGGACCAAAAAUUGGAAUAGCAUGUGUUAAACUCACUUAGAUAUUUAGGUGACUUAAUUUGCAAUUAGAAUAGAAAUAUACCUAAAUAUCACAUGCAGGCAAGUUAAAGCAAAUGCUUAAAGAAUCCUUUUUUAAUUGAUUAACAUAGAUACAUAGUGAGUCAAUUAGGAAAGGUAUUUGUACAAGGACCUCGACAAAGACUUGUAGUUAAUUUUGGACUUUAUAUUAGCAAAUCAACCCAUGGAUUAAGUAGAAAAGAGAAAUUAGUUGUAAAAGAAAUGUUGAGGAGUACUAUAAUCCUAGUCUUUUAUCAAUUAUUUUCCAUUAACUUUUAACCUUCAAUUUUUAGUUUAAGAUUUGUUAAUUGAAUUAUAUUUUUAGCUAAUCUUCAAUUUUGUGUGUUUGGAUAAUAUUAUGAUGUUACAAUUUUAGUACUUAGAGAGAGCUUGGUGAAAUUCCCAAAAAGAUAUAAUACGUUUCCUACUACUAUAUUAUUUAAGCGAUAUGUGCACUUGCAUGUGUAAAGUUAGCAACAAGUAUACUAGUUUGUUGAUAUCUCUUCAUUAAUUAUUUUUUUUUAUGUAAAGAUUGAUAGCUACUUCACGUAGGUGGAAACGUCUUGAACAUGGCUACUAACUGAUGUCAAUACCAAGGACUUGCUCAUUCCAUUUGUUUUGAAAAAAAGUAACACUUCAAUAAUUUGUGAUUGUUUCUUUUAUAUCCAAUUCUACUUGCAUUUUGGGAACAAAGUUCAAAAAAUAUACUCAAUUCUUUAGAGAUGUCCCUUUUAUAGAAAUUAAACAAUUUAUGAAUAAGUUGAAACACGUGGAAGUCUCUUUCUAAUGUAUUGUUUAUUUUUUCUUUUUUUGUAUAGCAUCAUAUGUGAAACCCCACACCUUAGGUGUAGAAUGAUUAAGUAAAGUCCUGUUUGGUGAGCCAUUUAAACAUGUUUUUGGUUUAAAGAUUUUGAAAAUUUUCCUUAGAAAAGCCUAGAUUUCAAGUUUACAAAUAUAUGUGUUACUGGAGAAGAAUGUGGGCUAAAAAGGAUGGAUUUUCAAAGUAAAAAUCACAUUAUGAAACAAAAGUAUCGAUACAUGAUGAACAACUAUCAAUACUUUCUACCCAAAAAGCUUUCAAAAAGGAUUUGGAUGAACAAGAAUCGAUACAUUAAACCCAGAAACUCAAAUAUCGAUACUUUCCCAAAUGUAUCAAUUCUUAACAUCCUUUUUAUAAAAAUAAAAGGGGUAAAAUAGAAUUUUUCUCACUCAAAAAUUUCCCUAAAAGGCUAAUUUUCUUCAAUCUAAACCCUUGGCCACCUUUUCACAUUAUUUCUUAUUAACUCUCAACAUUCUUAGACCCUUUUUCAAUAAAAUGUCUUAAUUUUUGAAGAUUGAAGGUUGGUUUAAGUUUUUCUAACAAUCUAAGGUAAAGUCUUCAACUUUUAAUCUUUCAAAAUGUGAUUUUCAUUAUUGAUCCAAGGUGUUUCAACAGAUUUUGUGUUUUAAUAAGGGGUUAAAGAUUUCCAAAAGUUUUGCUUGCUUAGGAGCUCACCAAGUUAAGGAAUAAAUUAAUAUUUAAAUUCUUAUAACUUUAGUUAAUUGAAAAACAAGGGAUUUAUGCUAGAAAGUUAGUUUUGGAUGAACUUGACUAGUUUCAAAUUAGUGUAGGAGGAUUACUACGUGAUUUAUGGGUUAAGUAAUGUUGUCAAUGAUUGUUGAACAAGUAGGUGCUAUCAAAACUCCAAGGAUUCACCAGAGUAAAGUUUUGCUUUGGUAGAGGCCGAGUCUUUGAAAGGUGAGUGGAUACAGGUAUUUUAUAUGUAAGGUAAAGUAUGUUUUCAUUAAGGUGCUAAUCUUGCAUGAUUUAAAUACCAUUUUUAUGAUGACUAUUCAAAUGUUUUCAAUCCAACUAAUUUCAAAGAAGUUUUUGAAUCUACUAUGUAUGUAAAUAUUCUACCAUGUAUUAGCUUUCAAUAAGAGGGAACAAGCCUUUUUAAUGAUUUCUUUCAAAAUCGGCGCAAGUUAGUAUGAUGAAUAAGAAAUGCAUGUUUGUUAGAUGAGCUGUUAAGGUGGAUGUAGACAUUUCCACCCAUGAGUUUAUGAAAUGAUUAUGUGAUAUGUAUUUGAGCAUGAAAUGUAUGAUUAUGAAUUGUAUACGAUGUAGUUCCACAUACCUUAUAAGAUAGUUAUGAGUAUAAAUCAUGAGCUAUAGUCAAGCAUGAUUAUGUAUUGAUGAUGGCAAAAUAUAUAUAGAAAUGUCAUAUCCUACAUAGUAUAGAAAUCCAAGAUAGAGGGAUAAUACCUUAUCCACAAUGAGUCGAGGCAAAUUACCACUCACAGUGUGGGUGAGGUGGAAUGCCACUCACAAGAGCUCUUAGGAAUCCAAGAUAGUAUGGAUUAAACCUUAUCAAUUAUGAGUCGAGGUGAACUACCACUCAUAGAGAUCUUAAAUAAGAGGACUAUACCUUAUCUGCUUUGAGUUAAGGCAGACUACCACUCACAGUUAGUUAAGUUUUAGAUAAUUUUUAAAAGAGCAUAAAAGUUGGAUUUUUAGAAAGAUGACAUACAAGUUAUGAUUGAGUAAUGAUAUGAUAUUGUUGAGGAAUUGAUGGAAUAUAGCUUAGUCCAAGUGAGUCUUAGUCUAUAUGAAUGUCCUUAAAAAUAGAAGAACUUAUAAAGUUAGAAAGUGUAAAAAAUUACUUAGAAAUCUAUGUUUUAUAAGUGAACAUGUGUCAAUACGUAGAAACAGAAUGUCCCAAGAAGCAUUAUGUGUAGAAAGUGUCAAUAUUUUUAGAAAAGAAUUGAUACAUAGAGUUCUGAAAACAUUUUAGAGCAAAAGUAUACUUCACAAAGAUGUAUAGAUAUCUUAGUUACAAAACAGUGUCUUCACUUCUUUUUCAAAAGGUUUUCAAAUGAUUUCAACUUCCAUUUCAUCCCAAAUGUUUAUACAACUAUGGUUUCAAUUAAACCUUUAUAAAAUGGUUUUGAACAACAUUUUUUACAAGAGUUUGAAGGAAAUUAUGAAAUUUAUGAAUUUUAUGAUUAUGCAACUUAUGAUUUACGUAAAAAUUCUUCCCCUUGGCUUGUCCCCUUCCUGUUUUCACCCACGAAGUCUGUCACAACCCAUCCCAGGCCAUGACCACUGCAAAGGCCUAAUAAGAAAGCUCACUCAACUAAAAUAAGCCUCUUAUACCAAAUCCAUCUUAUUAAACAAAUCUCAUAGUUGAGAUAGUGCUUUAUCUCAUUAAGCAUGCAUACAUGUACAAUUGUACUCAAAUUAUAUAUUUCAUUUGAAAGUUUGUAACAUUUUUAAAACAUUUGUGCAUGUUUAAAACUAUUAAAAGUAAAGGAUUUAAAACUUCAUAUACCAACAAAAAGUGUGCCAACCAAUUGCUAGGUAUAAACAUUUACCAAAGCUUUUAACCCAAACAAAGUAUGACUCGAACUCAGCGGACUAAAUCAACAAAAGGUGGGUAACCUUAACGGAUUGCAUUGACGUCCACUUACCAAGUGUUAGCAAAAAGAAAACUUCCCUAGUAAGCCAACCAAGGAUCUACUGAUCUAAAAACAAAAAAAUAUUUCGUGGGGUGAGAUAUAAAAUUCUAGUGAGCGAAAACGAGAAAGGGAACAAGGAAAAUGGAGGAAUUUUGAAUAAACAUAUUUGUAAUAAGCGUGCAACUUUCCAACUUAAACCCAAGAUCUAAUCAAAUGCAUUUAAAAACAGUGAGGAUUUUGCAUCAUUUAAAAUGCCAAAAUCAUACUCGAAGUCCCUUAGAAACUUGGUCUAAGGUUGCUCAAACAAACUCAUCAAAAUGGGAUCAAAAUACCAUAAUAAUGCACUUUUAGCUACAAGGAUCAACCAUUCAUUGGUAAAGGGUCAAUUUUUGUGAAAACCCAAUUUAUACAUAUUAUGGAAAUUAGAGAUAACUUGAAUUUUGAUGAAUUAUAUGUUAGUGACGAUUACCUAUGAGAAUUCCUUGUCAUUUGAUGUAAAUCCUUCCAAAUUAUUGUCAUAUUCAUGGAUGAAUGUUGGUUGAAAGAAUGGGAAUAAGGAAACAAAAUGGAUGAAUUUUUGCAAGUUUGAACUUGAAGGGUCGACCCCUAAUGGUUAAAAUCAACCCUAAUGACUUGGGGCUUCGAAAACGUCAACAUUUUAGCUUAAGGACAACUAUAUAAGGCCAAAACUUGACUAUAGGGGAUUAAGUAGUUGACUAUAUUUGAGGAAUGAAGCCACAGUCGAUUAUGGGGAUUAAGCAGUCGACCCUUAAAUAGCUUAAAGCAAAAAUAAAAGCUCAACUUGAACCCUAGCCCUCAUUUUUCCUUCUCUUAACCUCUAACUCAUCCCCAACAGCCACCAAACCUUCUUCAUACCUUUCAAAAACCCAUUGGAUAAGGAUUCAACUUUCCAAACUCAAAUCUAAGGUAAGAUUUGGUAUUUUGUGUCUUAAUCACAAUGUUUCAACCUAACUCAAGGGUUUUGUAAAUUUCAACUCAUUUAAUCUGAAUUUGAUCUAGGAAUUUGGGGUUUUGGUUCUUCAACAAGGUUAUGGAUGUAAGAAUGAUUAAGGUUUCAUUAUGUAUGAUUUGAGUUUGAAGUAUUAUGAAUUAUUGGCUUCAAAAUGAAAAAUAUGGAUUGUUGGGAAAAAAUAGAAUAAGUUUCGCUAGAAACUAGAAACUUAUGAUAGGAUUUAUUGUGAUAGGUGAUUGCUAGAGCUCGAGAUUUUAGAUGAGUAAGAUUUUGGUGACACAAAGCUUAAGAAAAAAAUAUACUUCUCAUUAAGGUGAGUGGAUACACCUUUUAAGUAUUUUAAUAUGUAAAGCGAGCAUAACUUUUAUGGAAAUGAUAUAUUAUGGGAAAUAUUUGUAUAAGAAUGGCUUAACAAAGGAUUUGAUGUUUACUAUUUUGUAAUUGGUUUCGAAAAUUAUGAAUAAAAGGUUUUUCUACUUGAUGAUGAUUUAUUGAUUGUGAUAAUCACAAAUGAUUUUCAACUAGUUUGCAAAUCUAUUAUGUAUGUAAAUAUUCUACUGCGUACUAGUUUUCAACAAGGGGGGAUAAGCUCUCAAAUGUUUUUCCUUCAAAAUAAGAUGAAUGAUAUGAUGUACAUGCUUGGCAUGAUGUAGCAUGUAAGGUUGGUGGAUAUAUGAGCUCCUGGCUAUGAUGUUAAUGAAUGACUAUGACAUGUAUGAAUAUGAUGUGAUGUGUUUGUGGAUGUAUGAGUUUUCACCUAUGAUGUUAAUGAAUGACUAUGUCAUAUAUGAAUAUGAUGUCGAUAUGAUGGUGGAUGUAUGAGUUCCCACUUAUGAGAUAAUGAAUGAUUAUGAUGUAUAUGUACAUGAUGUCAAUAUGUUUGGAGGAUGUAUGAGUUCCCACCUAUGAUGUUUUAAGAUAAGAUAUGAAAUGCAUGCCUUGAGUUGUAUGUGAUGAGUAUUACAUGUACUCUAUGGGCUAAGCAUCUGUGAAAUCCCACCUUAAGUAAAAUGAUAAUUUCAGAAAAUCCUUAGGUGAACAAGUGAAAUUGUAGUUUUGAAACACUAAAUUUAGUUUCCAACCUUAGAAAAAUUCAUGUUUUGAUGUUGUAUGAUGUUUAGCAAAGUUGGAUGUUUAAAAGAAAUCCAAUUGGACAAGUUUCUAAGUGUAUUUUUCUAUAUUGGAGCAAAUGCGUCGAUACAUGACCUUGAUGUAUCAAUAGAUUUAGUCCAAAAAGCUUUUAAAAGAGGAUUUGAAGAACAUGUAUCGAUACAUGUAAAACUAUACCGAUAUAUUUGGAUUUUUUAUAAACAUCUAUCAAUACAUAGCCAAAUGUAUCAAUAGAACUUUUCCAAAAACCAAUAUAUCAAUACAUUUCAUCAAUUUUAGAGAAUAAAAGGCAUAAAAAUGUACUUUCACACCCUAGACUAUAAAUAUACCUCAAUUUUCGAGGGUUAGCAACCCUCAGCCAUUUUUACAAGGUAAACCUUGAACUGUAAAGCUCUUCCAAUCCAUUUUUAGUUCAAGUCACCAUUUUUAUGAUUUAAAAGUUUGGUUUUGAGUUUUUAUGAAAAAAAAUGACAUUUUUCAACUUUGAAAUAAUUGAAUUUUGAAUUUUCAAUAUUUAAAAUAUUGUUUAUGUGCUCAGAUUUUCUUGUUCAUUACUAAAGCUCAAGGUUUUGUGAUUUUCCUAAAAAUCUAAGCUCACCUAAAGUAAUGAUGAAAGAUUUAUGGAUUCUUAAGCAUUAUUUAGUUAAUGUAAUAAUGGGUUUAAGCUAGAAAAGUAGUUUUAGUGAAAUCCGAAUAGUUUCAAAAGUGUUGGAAAUGUCUAGUAUAAAACUAUUAGACCAAAUAAUAAUUGUGAUGUUUGUUGUAUGCUAGGAAUGGUUUAAAACUCCAAGGAAAUCCCCGUAGAAAAGUUGUGAUAUGAGCUAGAGGUCGAAUAUCCAAUUCGGUGAGUAGAUACACCUCUUCAAAUAUUUUACUAUGUAAAGUGAAUAUGAUUUUUAUGGAAAUGAUUUGUUGUGCAUGAUGAAAUUUUAUUUUUAAGGAAUGGUUUAUUAAAGAAUUUGAGUUUCAAGUUUUUCAACUAUUAUUUGAAAGAAUGACUAAAGGUUUUGAUUCAAUGAUGAUUGAUUGUGUAUUGACACCAUUGUUUUUCCAAUCAUUUGCGAAUCUACUAUAUAAAUAUAGUACUACGUAUUAUUUUUCAACAAAGGGACACAACCCCUUUCAAAUGUUUUCCUUUAAAAUGAGAUGAAUGGUAUAAUAUACAUGCUUAACAUGAUAUAUCGUUAUUAUUCUUUAUUUAAAAAUUAAAAUUUGUAUAUCGUUAAACACUUUUAACUCAAGAAUAUAAAUUUAAAUCUUUAUUUUUCAUUAAAUUGAGAUUGUUUUUAUUUAAUUGACUUGUUACGUUAACUCUUACACACUUACGUUAAGAUUUAAAAUUUAGUUAUUCUACCUUUAUAAGUUUUUACGUCAAUUCUUACCGUUUUACGUCAAAGCUUUUCCAUGCCAACUUUGAAUUAGAAUUUUUUUUAUCCUUAUUAUUCUUUAUUUAAAAAUUAAAAUUUAUACAUCGUUAAACAUUUUUAAUCCGAGAAUAUAAAUUUAAAUAUUUAUUUUUCAUCAAAUUGAAAUUGUUUUUACUUAAUUGACUUAUUACGUUAACUCUCACACAUUUACGUUAAGAUUUAAAAUUUAGUUAUUGCACCUUUACAAGUUUUUACAUAAAUUCUUACAGUUUUAUGUCAAGGCUUUUACGUGUUAACUUUGAACUAUAAUUAUUUUUAUCCUUAUUAUUCGUUAUUUAAAAAUUAAAAUUUGUAUAUCAUUAAACACUUUUAACUAGAGAAUAUAAAUUUAAAUAUUUAUUUUUCAUUAACUUGAGAUUGUUUUUACUUAAUUGGCUUGUUACGUUAACUCUUACACACUUACGUUAAGAUUUAAAAUUUAAUUAUUCCACCUUUACAAGUUUUUACGUCAAUUCUUACAAUUUUAUGUCAAGGCUUUUCCAUGCCAACUUUGAAUUAAAAUUUUUUUUUAUCGUUAUUAUUCUUUAUUUAAAAAUUAAAUUUACACAUCGUUAAACAUUUUUAAUCCGAGAAUAUAAAUUUAAAUAUUUAUUUUUCAUCAAAUUGAAAUUGUUUUUACUUAAUUGACUUGUUACGUUAACUCUCACAUAUUUACGUUAAGAUUUAAAAUUUAGUUAUUACACCUUUACAAGUUUUUGCGUCAAUUUUUACAAUUUUACGUCGAAAUUUUUCCAUGUCAACUUUGAAUUAGAAUUAUUUUUAUCGUUAUUAUUCUUUAUUUAAAAAUUAAAAUUUACACAUCGUUAAAUAUUUUUAAUCUGAGAAUAUAAAUUUAAAUACUUAUUUUUCAUCAAAUUGAAAUUGUUUUUACUUAAUUGACUUGUUACAUUAACUCUCACACAUUUAGGUUAAGAUUUAAAAUUUUGUUAUUACACCUUUACAAGUUUUUACGUCAAUUCUUACAGUUUUACGUCAAGGCUUUUCCAUGCCAACUUUGAAUUAGAAUUAUUUUUAUCCUUAUUAUUCUUUAUGUAAAAAUUAAAAUUUGUAUAUCGUUGAACACUUUUAACUUGAGAAUAUAAAUUUAAAUAUUUAUUUUUCAUUAAAUUGAGAUUGUUUUUACUUAAUUGACUUAUUACGUUAACUUUUACACACUUACGUUAAGAUUUAAAAUUUAGUUAUUCCACCUUUACAAGUUUUUACGUCAAUUCUUACUGUUUUACGUCAAGGCUUUUUCAUGCCAACUUUGAAUUAGAAUUUUUUUAUCCUUAUUUGUCACGACCCGAUACUCCUCUCAAGCUCGUGACAACCGUAGUGGUGCCCCGAACGACACUCAUUACCCGAAAUAUCAAUCAGAAUCCCGCAAGGCUUUAAUUUCAGUUUCUCAUUUCCCCUAUGAGUAACUGUUUCCAAAUAUCAUGUUCUAAAAGAUUUUAAGCUAUUUCCAACUUAAAUCAAUAAAAAAAAUGAUUUUUGUCUUACAGGGGCAUUUUGGUUAUUUUUUUAAAAAAAAUUCGAAACCAGCUAAAAAUGUAGUAUGCGAAUAUAAAACACAUAAUUCAUAAUAAAAAAUAAGUUUAAAUGUCUAAAACCUUCAUUUAAAAUGAAAUUAUGACUAUUUGAAUAUAAUAAAAAUAUUCAAUAAAAUAUUUUAUUUUCUUAUAAAACAAUAUUUAUAAAGUUACCGGUAAAUAAUUUUUGUAGCGUAAAAGCUAAAUAAAUUCAUACAUACUGUAAUACAGAUAACCAAAGCAUAAGAUUUAAUUUACAAUGACUAGUGGGCCCACGAACAACCAAAAGUAUCAAAGCGGUAAACCUACAGUUUUUUAGGAUGCAAGUUCAAUUGUAGCCCUCAACAAAGUGAGCUAUCUACUGACUAUCGUGAGCCUGAAAUGGGUGAAAAUGAGGGUGGUAAGAUUAUAUAAUCCCUGUGAGUAAACAAAUACCAUCUAAAAUAUCUAAAGCUGAGUAAAUGGAGACAAAUAAAAUAGAUUAGCAUAAAAAUGAUUCUCAGCAUUUCGAACUCAUUUUAAUAAGAUAAAAUAGAUUCAUUUCACCAAAAUAAACAACGAGACUUAUGAUUUACUGAAAAGUUUGGCUCGUGCCAAAAUCAUUCUCAUACUCAGUUAUCAGGGAUACCUUGACCGAGGGCUAUCCCAACUAAGUCCGCCAAGGCUGUUAAAAAGUUAUGUACGCAUAAAUCAUGUUUUUAUUUUGAAAACAUAGUCAUUCCUUAGCGUUGGCUGAGUUCACCCUCACGUGGUGGUUUGGCGUGAAGUGAACUCUAAAGUGUUAACCUCAGGAGUUAUCCAUUCGUGCCUCUCAUACUGAGGUAAGAAUAUAAUAGGGUUACCGUGCCCCUCUAAUAGGCUGGUCCACGGAACCCAUCCACUACAGCGACCAAUAUAUAACCCACCAAUUCAAUAAAAUUUGCAAUAGUAUGACAUGACAAUUAUUUUAUUUUACAGUCUCUCAAGGCAAAUUAACAGUUCAUACAUUUUCAACACAAAUAACAAUUCAGCCAUUCAUGCAAAUAUUAUCAUAAGCCAUUCAAUUCAAACCAUGAUUUAUAACACAACAAUUAGUCUCCAAUUACUCCAUUUUUAAAACCAUCAUUCAAUUUCAAGACAAUUUUUAAAAUCAUUUUCAUUUAAUCACAUUUUGCUUAUAAAACAUAAAGAUUUACCAUUUAAACUCAUUUUCCAUAAAAUCACAAAAUUGGAUAAAAACCACUUUAGAUAAUUAAGACGAUAAUAAGAUUACUAACUAUUUCGGGAGUCAAAUUUUGAAUACUUCGAUUCUUGAUCCUCGGGUACUAUCUCUUUACUUUUGCCAGAAUGCUCAUCACCUAGACAUAAUACACAAUAAGCCAUUUACUAUAUUUGUGCUAAAUUGUUAUAAAACCAAUUCAGGCUCUAUACUAAUGCAUGAAAUGGCAUGUGAAAUACUCGGGUAACUAUCUAAAUACGGUGUUCAAUAUAAAUUCAGUUAUGUACCUAAAUAAAACGAUAUUGGCCUAAUUCGAUCUAUCACCCGAUUAAUUGGCCAAUACGUCCAAUUCAACUCCAAAUAAUUCCAUUUCUCUCCCAAUACUUCAAAUCACCAAACACAAGUCAAAAAACAUAAAAUUUAGCAAAACCAUCAUCACAUUUUCUCUUGAAAAAUUCGGCCAUGGUGGGUGCAUCAACACUAUAAUUUUUCAAGCUUGAUUCUCACACCAUAAAUCACUAAUUCCUAACCAAAUCACUUGAAAUAAAAUCAAAAUCAUCAUCAAUAUUCCACAUGGAGAAUUCAGCCAAUGAUGGGUGAUGGAAGAACAUGAAUUUUUCUUGCUUGAUUUUCAUGCUACACAUCACUAACUAACUAAAAACACUAAAAUACAUUGAAAUCUAACCAAAUCCAAGUUCAAAACUCCUCCCCCUAUGUUCGGCCAGCAAGGGUAUCCUCAUGGAAACUUGAUUCUCAACCAUGGAAAAUGAAAAAGAAUGCAUAGGAAAGGUAGAUCACAAGCUAGAAUUGAAAAAUCUUACAUUUUUUCACUUGUUUCCUUGAAUUUUCACACUUUUCCCUUGAAUUUUUCCACCUAGGGUUUUUGUUCUUCUUUUCUUCCUUUGUUCUUCCUUUGGCCGGCCAUAUGAAGAGAAAUGGGCUGAUUUUGUGCUGAUUUUUAAGCCAAAUAAUAAAUGGAUGAAAAUUUGACACAUGUCACCAUUCCAUUGGUCCAUGUGUCAUACUUACCCAUUAAGCAAUCUCUCUCCACCACUUAAAUUUCCUCAAUUAUCCAUGAUAAUAUUGGGUAAAAUUCAUAUGCUGGACAAGUGUUGGGUGGUGUAAAAUUACAAUUUUACCCUUGGGUGACAAAAUGACUAUUUUACCCUUAUACUUGAAAAAAUGUCGAAAUUAAAAUUCUUCACUUCUCAAACUCAAAUUAUGUUCUAAAUAGUCAAUCUUGAUCAAAAACUUCUUCCAACAUUCCAAUUUUAAUCUCGGGUGGCAAAAUGACCAUUUUGCCCCUAGGUUAUGAAAAUUCUAAUUUGACUCCAAAUCGGUCCUCGAACUCCGAAUUACCAUUUUAAGUCAUUCUGGGGUUUUAAAAUUCUCAAUUUCAUCAUAAAAUCUCUAUUUGGACUAGUUUGAGGCUUAAUUCAACUUAAUUGUACCAUUUGGUACAAUACCGUCAUUUAAUGAUUUCCAAGGUAUCCAAGUAAACAAACAUGUAUUUUUAUGUAGGAAUGAGAUAAUAAACAUAUUGUAGAGCUGGGCUUGACAUUAUUAUUCUUUAUUUAAAAAUUAAAACUUGUUCAUCGUUAAACACUUUUAAUCCAAAAAUAUAAAUAUAAAUAUUUAUUUUUCAUUAAAUUGAGAUUGUUUUUACUUAAUUGACUUGUUACGUUAACUCUUACGCACUUACGUUAAGAUUUCAAAUUUAGUUAUUCUAACUUUAUAGUUUUUACGCCAAUUCUUAUAGUUUUAUGUCAAGACUUUUCCGUGUUAACUUUGAGCUAUAAUUAUUUUUAUCCUUAUUAUUCAUUUUUUAUAAAUUAAAAUUUGUAUAUCGUUAAACACUUUUAACUUGAGAAUAUAAAUUUAAAUAUUUAUUUUUCAUUAAAUUGAGAUUAUUUUUACUUAAUUGACUUGUUACGUUAACUCUUACAUAUUUACGUUAAGAUUUAAAAUUUAGUUAUUCCACUAUUACAAGUUUUUACGUCAAUUCUUAUAGUUUACGUUAAGGGCUUUUUCAUGUCAACUUUGUAUUAUAAUUAUUUUUAUCCUUAUUAUUCGUUAUUUAAAAAUUAAAAUUUAUACAUCGUUAAACACUUUUAAUCCAAGAAUAUAAAUUUAAAUAUUUAGUUUUUAUUAAAUUGAGAUUAUUUUUACUUAAUUGACUUGUUACGUUAACUCUUACACACUUACGUUAAGAUUUAAAAUUUAGUUAUUCCACCUUUACAAGCUUUUACGUCAAUUCUUACCGUUUUACAUCAAGGCUUUUCCAUGCUAACUUUGAAUUAGAAUUUUUUUUAUCCUUAUUAUUCUUUAUUUAAAAAUUAAAAUUUUCACAUCGUUAAACAUUUUUAAUCUGAGAAUAUAAAUUUAAAUAUUUAUUUUUCAUCAAAUUGAAAUUGUUUUUACUUAAUUGACUUGUUACGUUAACUCUCACACAUUUAGGUUAAGAUUUAAAAUUUUGUUAUUGCACCUUUACAAGUUUUUACGUCAAUUCUUACAGUUUUACGUCAAGGCUUUUCCAUGCUAACUUUUAAUUAGAAUUAUUUUUAUCCUUACUAUUCUUUAUUUAAAAAUUAAAUUUUGUAUAUCGUUAAACACUUUUAACUCGAGAAUAUAAAUUUAAAUAUUUAUUUUUCAUUAAAUUGAGAUUGUUUUUAUUUAAUUAACUUAUUACGUUAGUUCUUACACACUUACGUUAAGAUUAAAAAUUUAGUUAUUCUACCUUUACAAACUUUUACGUCAGUUCUUACCAUUUUACGUCAAGGCUUUUCCAUGCCAACUUUGAAUUAGAAUUCUUUUUAUCCUUAUUAUUCUUUAUUUAAAAAUUAAAAUUUAUUCAUCGUUAAACACUUUUAAUCCAAAAAUAUAAAUUUAAAUAUUUAUUUUUCAUUAAAUUGAGAUUGUUUUUACUUAAUUGACUUGUUACAUUAACUCUUACACACUUACGUUAAGAUUUAAAAUUUAGUUAUUCUAACUUUAUAAGUUUUUACGUCAAUUCUUAUAGUUUUAUGUCAAGGCUUUUCCGUGUUAACUUUGAGCUAUAAUUAUUUUUAUCCUUAUUAUUCAUUUUUUAUAAAUUAAAAUUUGUAUAUCGUUAAACACUUUUAACUUGAGAAUAUAAAUUUAAAUAUUUAUUUUUCAUUAAAUUGAGAUUAUUUUUACUUAAUUGACUUGUUAUGCUAACUCUCAACAUUUACGUUAAGAUUUAAAAUUUAGUUAUUCCACCAUUACAAGUUUUUACGUCAAUUCUUACAGUUUUACGUUAAGGGCUUUUCCACGUCAACUUUGAAUUAUAAUUAUUUUUAUCUUUAUUAUUUUUUAUUUAAAAGUUAAAAUUUGUACAUCGUUAAACACUUUUAGUUUGAGAACAUAAAUUUAAAUAUUUAUUUUUCAUCAAAUUUAAAUUGUUUUUACUUAAUUGACUUGUUACGUUAACUUUCACACAUUUAUGUUAAGAUUUAAAAUUUAAUUAUUUCUCUUUUAUGAGUUUUUACGUCAAUUCUUAUUACUUUAUGUUAAUGAUUUUUAAUCGUACCGUUUAGGCUUUUUAAUGAGAAAUUUAAAUUACAUGUGUUUUUAUUUUUGUUAUUAUGCAUUUUUAAUUUUGAUUUUUUAAUUUGUUAUAAUGUCAAUCCUAUAAAUGUGAAAUUUCAACCAUUGAAUAAAAGUAAAGCAAAUAAACGGUUUCCAUUAAAACCCUAAAAAAAAGUCCAUCAAAGGAAGGAGUUUCCCCCACUGAAGGAAUUUUCUAUUAGAGGUUGGAGGUGGAGGACUCUCAUAUUCACCUUCAAUAACUAGACAAUUUUGUUGUAUUAGCUUUACAAUAACAAGCCCAUCCUUUGUCAAAUAGUUUGCGGAUCAAGAUACUAUACCAAAGCCAACUUCUGUUUUAUCUCUGUAUAGUCCAUUAAAGAGAUGACUCUCCCCCACUAAGGGAGUUUUCUGCCUGACGUUGGAGAUUGUCUUCACAAGCAUUAUAAAGCACACUAGAAAACUGUCACGUCUUACAGGUAUGAGCUUUGCCCCUUAUGGCAUAUAAAUUUUCAUUUAUCCUUUUUAUUUUCCCUUGAUUCUUAAUGUGAGUCUGUUUUCAAAAUUUUAUGCAACCAGUAAAAAUAGAAAUUUUAUUUAUUUCUGCAUGGCAAGAAUGUGCGUCAAGUAUCAAGGUUAAAAUUGUUAAGUAUGAUAUUUUAGUUUAGCAGACUCGUUGCUUCAGCAAAUUUCUGUCUACUCAGGGUUGUUCAAAAUGUUAUAACUUAUGUAUUAAAAGAGCUCUGGUUGAUACUCAUUCUCUGGAUUAGAUUAGUCUACAAUCAAACGUUUACUCGGUAGCUCAGAUCUUUAAGAAGUCUGCUCAUCUCUUUGUAUAUAUUCUGGGAGGUUGAUAUACUAUAUAACUCAAUCCCAUGUUUCUCCGAACAAUUGGAAAAAGGUAGUAUCAUCAUCUCAACACUCGAUCAUAACUUUGUGGUUUAAUUCUAAUAACACGAUGUAAGUAUUUCAAUUUUGUGGCAGUGUUGUUUUUUUAAAGAUUUUAAUGCCAUGACAAGUCAUGAUUCAAUGACUGUGUUGAGACAAGAUAAUUUCCAAGGGAAUUGAAAAUGACUCAAAAAAAUUUAGAUAUACAAAUUGUGCCAAGCGAUCAAUCUUUGUUUCCCGAAAGUACUGAGAAGUUCCUACAUUCAUUUCAAUGAAAAACAAAGAAAAACCUUCAUGUGCCAAAGCGUAGAUAUUUAGUAAAUGUUGCCAUUACCUGGCCACAAGCCAGUCUUCAGGCACCUCAAACAAUACUUUUGAAGUAUUCAGAACCUUUCCCAUGCUCCUAACUAGUUCCGUUGUGGUCUCUUUAGCCCCGUUGGUUUAUUGGCUUCGAUGGCCCUUUACCGUUGUCUUCUAUCUUGUUGUUUUCAGCCUCAGACACGUCCAGGAAAAUUUUGUUGGCCAAGCAAAUGAGACUUUGAAUUUAUUCCUGGCAUCUGUGAAUUACAAACUCAAUGACAAAUAUGCAUCAGCCUUCUAGAGGACCUAAAUUGUUAAAAAAGUGAACAGAAAAUAGCAUUGAAGAUGAAAAUAAGGUCUGCACAUUUGCAUUCAAUUUCAAUGUAUUUAUAUAUUGUAGUAGUGUAGGACUUGAUAGAUUGUUACUGUCACGACCCAGUACUCUCUUCGAGGCCGUGACAACCGUCGCGAUAUCUCGAUAGACAUUCAUUACCCAAAAUAUCAACCGAAACCUCGCAAGGCUCCUACAUCAAUUUUACAUCUCCCUUGUGAGCAACAGUUACUAAAUAUCAUGUUUUGAAAGAAUAUAGACUAUUUUCAAAUCAAAACGAUCAAAAAGUAAUUUCUACUGUAUAGGGGUAUUUUGGUUAUUUUACCCAAAAAUUUUGAAACCUGUUAAAAAUAUAAUAUAUAAAUGAAAAAUAUACAUUUCAUAUCUAAAAAUAAGUUUAGUUAUCUAUAUCAUCCAUUUGAAGUGAAAUUAUGGCUAAUCAAACUAAAUAAAAACAUUAAAUAAAAAUAUUCCGUUUUCUUAUAAAACAAUAUUUAUAGAAUCUUGUAUAAACAAUUUUUAUAGCGUAAGAGCAAAAUAAAUUCAUAUAUAUAAUAGCACACUAAACCAGGUAUACAAAAAUAUUCUACAAUAACAUGUGGGCCUCUAAUAUAACCGAAAACAUACAAGACUGUAGACCUUCGAUUUCUAAGGAUGCAAAUCCAAAAGCAACCCUCGACAAAAUCGACUGUCUAUAAAUUAUCCUAAGCCUAAAAUGGGUAAAAAAAAGGGGUGAGUUUUUAUAAACCCAGUGAGUAAGUAAAUUUCAUCUAUAACAUCUAAAGCAAAGUAAAUGGAGACAAUUUAAAACAUCUCAGUAUAAUAUGAUUCAUAAUAUCAAAUCUCAUUUCAACCCAUAUAAAUCAAUUACAUUUCAUCAAAAAUAAUCAACAAGGCUUAUGACACUCUUAAAAACUUGGCUCAUGCCUAAAACUUGUACUCGGUGACACCUUGUUCUGGGGCAUCCAACCGAAUCCGCCAAGGCUGUUAAAAUAACAUAUGCACAUAAAACAAGUUUUUACGUUUAAAACACAGUCGUUCCUUGGCGUUGGCUGAGUUUCACCUUCACGUGGUGGUUCGGCGUGAAGUGAACUCUAACGUUACCUUAGGAGAUACCCUCUGCGCCUCUCGUACUAAGGUAAAUAUAACGGGGUUUAUCGUACCCCUCUAAUAGGCUGGUUCACGAAAACCCGCCCACUUCAGUAAGCUAAUCAAAUAACCCACCAAUUCAACAAAAUUUUCGACAGCAUGACAUGGCUAAUAUAAUAUUACCAACCUGUCAAGGCAAAGCAAAAAAGUUCAUAUGUCAAACCCUGUUCUAUAAAAUAAUUACGACGUCAUUUACAUGCUCAAUAGAAUGUUUGCAUAUUUAGGAAGUUCAAGGAAUCGUUAAAAGACGAUAUUGCCCCCAACGGUACCAUUAAGUCGAUUAAGCCUCGAACUAGUUCAAAUAGGAAUUUUAAGGUGAAAUUAAGAGUUUCACGGUCUAGGGAUGACUCAAAAUGGUAAUUCAAAAUUCGAGGAUCAAUUUGGAGUCAAACCGAAAUUUUCACUAUAUAGGGGCAAAAUGGUCAUUUGCCACUUGGAGACAAAAUGAAAAUUUUAGAAAAGCUUUUUUUGGCCCCAUUUGACUUAUUGGAGUAUGAUUUGAGGUUUAGAAGUGAAAAAUUUUAAUUUCGGUAUAAUUUGGAGUAUAAAGGGGAAAUCGUAAUUUUGCCAUCCCAGGGGCAAAAUUGUAAUUUUCCACCACCAGGACAUUUGUCCAGCACAUGAUCUUCCCUUAUCCUCAUUUUGACUUUUGAAUAAUCAUGUGGUGGAGAUAAAAGGUUUAAAAUUUUUAAAAUUUUAAAAAUGGACCAAUGGAAACAUGCCAUGUGUCAAGCUUAGGAUAUUUUAUUAUUUAACUUAAAAGUCAGCAUAAAUCAGCCCAUUAUCUCUCCAAAUAUUCGGCCAAGUAAGGAAGAAAGGGAAAGAAAGGAAGAACAAACCCUAGGUGAAGAAUUUCAAGAGAAAAAGUGUGGAAAAUCAAGGAAAACAAGUGAAAAAGGUAAGAUUUUUCAACUUAAGCUUGAAAUCUAUUUUCCUUAAGCAUUUCUCCUUAUUUUCCAUGCUUAAAUUACAUGUUGUCAUGAUGAAUUCAUGGCUGGUCAAAAUGGGUAUGGAGAGAGAAAGAUGUUAAAUUGAAUUGAUUUUAAGAUAUGUUAGUGUUUUUAGUUAGUUUAGCAUAUUUAGAAACAAAACAACAAGAAAAGAAUCCAUUUUUCCAAUGUACCUUCAAUGGCCAAACCCUAUGUGAAGUGUAGAAGUAAUGAAUUGAUUUUGAGAUCAAGUGAUUUGGUUGAAAAAUUGAUGAAAUGAUGAUUUAUGGUGAGAAAAUGGAAUGGGAUAAUUUUUAGUGAUAGUGCACCACAAUGGCCGAAAUUUUCAAGAAGAAUUGUGAGGGUUGUUAGGUUGAAUUUUAGAUUAUUGGUAUUGUAUUUAGUGAAUUGAAAUAUUAGAAAUGAAAUGUAGCAAUUUGGAGCCAAAUCGGACACAAUUGUCAUUAAUCGGAUAAUAGGCCGAAUUAGGUCAGUACCGCAUUUAAGCGGUAGUCAGAUAAGUUGCAUAUCAUAUCAUGGAUAUACAUUGAGCCUGAAUUGAUUUUAUAAUGGUCAAGCAUUGAUGUGGUGAAUUAUGUAUUGUACAUUGUGGAUAGGUGAUGAGCAAAUUACACUGGUAAAAGUACAGAGAUUGUGCUUAGAGACUGGGAUUAGGAGUACAUCGACUCAUAGAACUGUGAGUAAACUUAUUAUCGUCUCAAUUAUCUAGAGUAAUUUUAUACAAUUGUGUGAUUUUAUAGAAAAUGGGUUUAAAUGGUAAAUUGCUAUGUUAUAGGAGAAAUUGUGAUUUUAUAAAAUAAUUUUAUAAAUUUUCUAGAAAAUUGAAUACUGGUUUUGAAAAUAAAGUAAUUGGAGAUUGUCUGCUUGUGUUAUAAAUUGUGUUUUAAAUUAUAUGGCUUAUAGCAAUAUGUGAGCAUGAAUGGCAAAGUCGGUAUUUGUAUCAAAAUUAUAUAUACUAUGUAUUCAGCCUUGAGGGGCUAAAUUGCAAUAAAUUACCAUGUCAUGCAGAUAAAGAUUUUAUAAAUCAGGUGGUAGAUAAAAUAAUCCAUAGUCACUGUAGUGGUGGGGGUUUUCGUGGACUGUCUAUGAGAGGGGUACGGUAACCCAAUUAUAUAUUUACCUCCGGGGGGAGAUGUUGGAUGAAGUAUCUCUUGAGGUAAAGAUUUGAGUGCACUUCACGUGGACCACCGUGUGAGAGUGAGACUCAGCUAACGCCAAGGCAUGGCUAAAAUUUCAGAUGUAAAGACACUUAACCGCCUUUGUGGUCUCGGUCAGAUGCCUAGGCCAAGGCAUCCCCGGGAAUGAUUUUGGCACGAGCCAAGUUUUGUGAGAUAUAUAAGCCAUGUUGAUUAAUUGAGGAAACUGAAUAUUCAUGUUAUGAAACAUAUAUUGGAAAAUAAUAUUUUAAUUUGUCUCCAUUUACUCGCCUUUAGAUAGUUUAGAUGGUAUCUGUUUACUCAUUGAGAUUUUAUAAUCUCACCACCCUCCUUUCCUCACAUUUCAGGCUCGGGGAAUUCCAUAGUUAGCUAACUUUGACGAGGACCUUCAUUUGGACUUGAAUCGACAAAAGCUGUAGGUUUUCAGCUUCCGAUGCAUUUUGGUUAGAUAUGGGCCCACGUGUCAUUGUAAAAGUAAUUUUAUACUUUAGUUAUCUGAUUUAAAGUAUGUAUGAACAUAUUUAGCUUUUACACCAUGUUUUUGGCAAGUUUCGGUAUUUUCGAAAAAAAAUUGACAAAAAUGCCCUUGUGAGCCAAAAAAUAAUAUUAUAUUGUUUUGAUUUGGAAACGACUUAUGAUUUCUUGAAAUGCGAGAUUUAAUAACUGUCGCUUACCGGGAAGAUACGAAAGCUGAUGCUAAGCCUUGCGGGAUUUCGAUCGGCAUUCGGGGUAAUGAGUGCCUAUCGGGACAUCGCGGUGGUUGUCACUGGCCCGAUGGGAGUUCCGGGUCAUGACAUCAUAUAGUCCACAUAAACACAAAUCCAGCCAUGCUUGCCAUCACAUUGUCAUAAGCCAUCAAUUCAAACUAUAUGUCAAAACAUAUAUAUAACACAAGUAUAUAGUCUCCACUUACUCAAUUUCCAAAACCAGUAUUUAAUUUCAAAACAAGUUAUAAAUCUUAUUUCGUUUUAUCAACACUUCAAUUGUAAAACAUAAUAGUUUGCAAUUUAAAUUCAUUUUUCUUUAAAACAUAAAAACAAGUAUAAACUACUUUAAAUAGUUAAGAUGAAAGUCUAAUUACUCACAAUAAGAAGAGUAUGGAGUACUCCUAUUCUUGAUCCUUGGGUACGAUAUCCUUACCCUUACCAGAGGGCUCACCACCUAUACAUAAUACGUGGCACGUAAUUCAAUAAUUGGUGUCAAAUUGUUAUAAAACUAUUUCAGACUCUAUAUGAAUGCAUGAAGUUGAAUGAGAAAUGUUCGGGUAGUCACUUAAAGACGGUGUUCUACGUAGGUUCAAUUGUGAUCGAAAUGAAUUUGUAUUUGACCUAAUUCGAACUAUACACCAUUGAUUUAACCAAAACAUCCGAUUCAACUCUAAAUAUAUUCAUUAUACUUCCAAUAAUCUAAUACACCAAAGCAUUACAAUGAACUUGAUUUUUUUUACUAACUUCACCAUUUUCCAAAAUUCAUUCUGAUUUCGAACUAACAUACUAAUGAAUGUCUACACAGUCUCGUAUAUCCAUAUAUAUAUCAUUAGGAAUCAAAUCCAAGUCCAUUUACCAUGAUUUUCUCAUUUUCCAUCAAGCCAUUUUCUAAAGGAACUAUACUUUUCAAUAACCGGUUUCGAUAUCCAACAUCAUAAUUCAUCAAUUCCUAGCUACAUAACAUGAAUUACAACCAAAUCCAUCAUUAACAUGCCCUAACGAAAAUUUAGCCAAAUGAGGGUGGUUGAAGAACAUGUGAUUUUCUUGCUUGUUUUUCCUUCCAAACAUCACAAAAUGACUAAAAACACUAGGAUAUUAUGAAAUCUAUCAAAAUUCAUCACCAAAACUUCUCUCUCUAGAUUUGGCCAGCAAAGGUUUCCUCUUGAAAACUUGAAUUUCAGCCAUGGAGAAUGAAAAAGAAUGCAUGGGAAAGGUAAAUCACAAGCUAAAAUUAAAAAAUCUUACCUUUACUUGCGUGAUUCCUUGAAAUCUAACAAUUUCUCUUGAAUUUUUCCUUCCUAGGGUUUGUUCUUCUCUUUUUCUCUUUGUUCCCUUGCUUGGCCGGCCAUAAGAGUGAAAUGGGAGAAGCUUAAGUCGGUUUAUAAAGGAAAAUCAUAAAAAUAUUAAAGCUUGACACAUGUCACCACUUGAUUGGUCCAUGAUUAAAAACUUAACCAUUAAGCAAUUUCUCACCACCACAUGUAAUCCCAUAAUUAUCCAAAGUAUAAAGUGAUAAUAGGUGAAAUUCAUGGGCUUGACAAGUGUCAUGGUGGUGUAAAAUUUCAAUUACGUCCUCAUGGACACGUGAAAUGACCGUUUUGCCCUUAUACUCGAAAAAUGUCGAAAUUGAAAAUUUUCACUCCACAAUUUCAAAUUAUGCUCCAAAUAGUCAAACUUGGUCAAAAAUCUUGUCCAACAUUCCAAUUUUGCCCUUGGAUGGCAAAAUGACCAUUUUGCCCCUACAUUAUGAAAAUUCCCGAAUUAACUCCAAAUCAAUCCUCGAAUUUCGAAUCAUCAUAUUAAGACAUUUUAAGGUUCAAAAUCUCUCAAAUGCAUCUUAAAAUCUCUAUUUGGACUAAUUCGAGGCUUUAAUCAACCUAAUUGUACCACUAAGUACAAUAUUGACUUUUAACGAUUUUUCGAUACAUUCACUUAUGCAAACAUUCUAUCAAGCACAUGAAUGACAUGACAAGUAUAUAAUAGAGUAGGGCUUGAUAGUUACAGAAAUAAAAUCGUACUAGAAAAUAUGUUGAUCUUUUGAGAUAUUGAAGAGAUUGUUAGAGAAAUAAAAUCUUAUUAGAAAAUAUCUUAUUAACUAUUUUAAUUUUCAAACACUUCUCAAGUCGUCUGUGUCUAACCGCUAUUGGUAUUUAACCUUCCUUGUGACUUGCUCUAAAAUCUAAAGGGAAAGGCAAUGACCCUCAAAAUUGCACUCGAAUGAGACUUGUAAGUUUGCUUUGCUAGUGAUGGAAUGGACAACCAUGUUUUCUAGAAUUUCUCCAAUAUUAUUAUAGUGUAGUAAGUUUUUUAUUUAAUAUUUCAUGAGUAUUUAAGGUUGUAAUUAUAUAUUAUUUAUGUUUAAUAUGUGUAGGUUAAUGGAGAAUAAAGAAAAUAAUUUGUCAGAUGUAAAAUAUUUGCGUGAACUUUCAAAAGAUGAUAUACUGGGUUUGGAGUUUGAUGAUUUAGAAGAUGUUUAUGAAUUUUAUAAAGCAUAUGCUUGUGCAAUGGGCUUUGGUGUUCGUAAAGGCAGCUAUAGGCGAAACAAAGACGGAAUUGAAGUUAUGAAAUAUUUUGCUUGUUUGAAGGAAGGACAUAGGGCUGAAAAAUGGGAAAAGCUAGAGAAUCGGGUGCGAGAGCCUAAAAGGCCAUCUAGAACAGAUUACAAGGCUAACAUUCGGGUCAUUCUGAACAAAGAUACAGGAAAAUGAUAUGUUUCACAUUGUGAACUUGAACAUAAUCAUCAAAUGGUAAAUCCUGCUCAAAUAUGUUUCAUUCGUUUGAAUAGGCAAAUUAAAGUAGCCGAUGUUUGUGAAGCAAAAGCUAUGAAAGUUGCAGGUAUGAAAACAUGUCAAGUGAUGAAUGUUUUUGCAGCUCAAGCAGGAGGCAUUCAAAAUGUUGGUUUUACUAGUAAAGAUUUUUAUAAUCGUAUGGCAAUCGAAAGAUAUGCUGAAGUCAAUGAUGGUGAUGUUCAAGCGACGUUGUUAUAUUUUGGAGUUGAAAAAGAAAUAGAUAAUGGCUUCUACAUGAAGCAUACGACUUAUGAUGAUAACAAACUGAAAAAUUUAUUUUAGGCUGAUUCUAUAUCAAGAUUAGAUUAUGCUUGUUUCGGUGAUGUUUUGGCAUUUGACACAACUUAUAAGAAAAACACAUUUAAUUUGCCUCUUUUGGUUUUCAUUGGUGUGAACCAUUAUCAUAUGACCACCAUUUUUGCAUUAGCAUUGCUCACAAAUGAAGAUGCUAAAAGCUACAUUUGGGUUUUGACCACAUUUUUAGAAUGUAUGAUGAACAAAAAGCCAUUAUCUGUGGUUACUGAUGGGGACCGAGCUAUGAGAAAGGCAUUGAAAAUGGUGUUCCCUGGAGUAUGACACAGGCUAUGCUCUUGGCAUCUUGCUCGUAAUGCCCAAGCAAACAUACCACUUACCUGGAUUCGUUCAGAAUUUUAAAGCUUGCAUGAAAUCUUGGUGGACGAUUGAUAAGUUUGAAAGAGAAUGGAAAGAGAUGGUAAAAAAGUUUACAUUACAAGGACAUCAAUGGAUAGAUGAGAUGUAUAAAAAAAAGCAUAUGUGGGUGCAAUCACACUUGAGUGGUGAUUUCUUCGGAACAAUUACGAGUACGUCACGUUGCGAAGGUUUGAAUUCUUUUAUAGCUUCUCUUGCAAAAGAGAAGAAUACGUUAUUGGAGUUUGUUAGAGCAAUUGAAGAUGGAAUUAAAAAUAUUCGAAAUAAUGAGAUUGGUGAAGAUUACAUAUCUAUCCAUACAAAGCCAGUUUCAAGCCAAAUUUUCAAAGAUAUUGAAAAGCAUGCUGUAAGUGUUUAUACAGGAAGAACAUUCAAAAAGUUUAUAGAUGAGAUGCGUCUACAAUAAUUAUUUUACCAUGAAUGUCACUUCAAUGAUGAGCCAUCUAUACGUGUCACAGCCCAAAUACCAGGCCAUGAUCUGCACAUGGGCCCAAUGCGCAUAGCCCACUAAGCCCAAGCAAGCCUUUUCAUGCAAACCCGAUCAUCAUUCCCAACCAUCAAUUCUAAAACCACAUAUUGAAAUUCUGAAAUAAAAAUAUUUCAAUAAUAUUCUAUAGUGACCCAAAACUCACAAUUUUUUAUGUCAAAAUAAUAUCACCCGUUUGCCAACUCAUAGUGGCAUUCAGUAAUCAAAUAUACAUAAUUGACUUAUAAUAUGGAUCCUAGCAAAUUACAUUACAUAUACGCGUUCACAGGUUACAGACCCUUGACCGUCAGCGGAGUGACCAUAGGUGAAGGUACAGCUACUUAGAUGCCAUAAUACCUACCAAGAAGGCGAGCAUAUGUGGACAACUCAAUCUAGGUCCUAACUGCCUCCAAAUCUGAAAACAUGAAGUUUAAAAACGUGAGUAUAAAACUCAGUGAGUGAACAUAAGAAGGGAAUAAGCAAUCAAUAGGAAGAAUUUGGAAAUCAUGAUGCAUUUGUUUCAAAAACAAUGCAAUUGAUUUAAUUUCUUACUAAAAACCCCUCAUUUCAAACUUUGAUCAAUAACCUCAUAGUGUUGUAAAAACCCAUGAUCAAUCCAUGAAGUUAAAUGGGUGAAAAAUAGGUCAAAAUCAAGCAUGGCAGCAAGUUUCUCGCUGCAGCGAGAAACAAUCUUAGUUUGCAUAUGUUUAAGUUUUUCUAUCAUAUCUCCCACUACAGAAGUCCAAUUGACCUGAUUUUUAGACCAUUAGAAAGCUAAGAGGCAGGGAUACAACUUUUAUGUUUACUACAUUUCCCCUUAACUUUUAUGUUUAUCACAUUUCCCAUUUCGGACUGAAAGGUGGUCAAAAUUUUCAUCGAAGUGAAAACACUACACCAGAAUCCGAGAGUUUCUCGCUACAACGAGAAUCAGGUCAGUGUGACCCCCAAAACCCGAGAGUUUCUCACUGCAGUGAAAAUGAAUCUCGCUGCAGUGAGAAACAGAGCAUGUUAAGUGAAAUGGGUCUUGUUACAUCAAAAGCCAUUUUAUUGUUGAAAUGAAAAGCAAUUUAGGAGCAAUUAACAAUGCCAACAUGCAACACAAUCACAAAUAUUUUUCAUAACUUUCUAUAACGCACACAUAUAUAUACAUAUGCAUUCAUCAUCAUGUGUGCACUCCCUACUCGCACACUUCAACAUCAUCAUGUAUGCACUCCCUACUCGCACACUUCAACAUCAUUAUGUGUGCACUCCCUACUCGUACACUUCAACAUCUUCACACAACAUUAUUCAUCAAUGCACAAUGUAUAUUCAUAUACAUACAUACCAACAUACUAUAGGAGCACAUGGAUUCAUCUUUUUACACAUUUCACAUUUUCACAAUAUCAAAGCAUUUUAUCAAGGGCUUGUUCCCCGGUACAUAUUUUUAAACAAAGGUUGGAUAAAAUCAUUCAAAUGUUUCAUCCAAAUACAUUUGCAUUUCCUAAAGCAAAUUUUUAAAUGCAAGUUCACUCAUCGGUCUUGUUGAUUCUUUUGCUUGACUCUAACCUCAACUAAUUCUUCAAAUAGACAUGUGAGGCCUUGUUGGAACCUAUACACACACAACCUCACAACCAACCCAAAUUGGCUUUAAUAUAAUUCCAAAAGCUCUUUCCUACUCAAGUUCUACUAGUUAUUCCUAGCUAGCUUCCAAUUACCAUUAAGUGGCUGUUAUUCACACUACUCUAGUCACCCUAAGAGUGAAUAAACAACCUCAAUGAUAAAACACUCACAAACCCCAUUGUUAGCUAUUAUCAACAACUACAGAAAUUUAACCUUAACUUAUACUCACCUUAAUGUUCUUUGUAGUUGAAUUCUCUUUCAGAAUUCUUCAAGCUAACAAGGGAAAUCACUUUCUCUCUCUACAUGUCCAGCUAGUGAGAGGAAGAUGGAAGUAAGACUUUUUAAGGGUUUUAAGGUGAGAUAGUGAAAGAGCACAAAAGGUUCUAUGAAAAAGUGCUCAAAAUCAUGAAAAUUGAAGCUAGAGAGAAAGUUAUGGAAGCUUUAAGGGAGGCUCCCAUGGAGAUGAAGAAAUGUGAAAGGGGAAAGGAAGAAGGAAUGGUUGGAAGCUGCUGGAAAUUGCUGAAGCUUUUGAUAUUUAUAUCUAAAGUUUAUCCAUUUCUCACAUAAAUUACCAAAAUACCCUUAACAUGGUGACUUUGUCUUCCUCCCAUCCUUUGUGCAACCUUUUACUCUUUUGACACUGGGGUAAGGUCCAUAAUAGUCUAGAAAUACUCGGGUUCACGAAAACUUAAAAAUUUAGACUCGAGAUGCAAAAUGACCAUUUUACCUCUAUCGUGAAAAUUAUCAUUUUUUUAUCUUUUUCAUUUAUUUACCAUCAUAAACAUCAUUCAUUCAUUCCUUAGGCCUAUUUAGACCUUAAUAGCAUCAAAACAACCCACUCGUAGGAGCUCACCAAGAGAAAUUACGAAAUUACCCCUGGUUCGUAUUAUCGCGUCUACUUCUAGUUAUGUGUCUAUGGAGAUCGAGAUUUCACAAGUUCACUUCUGGAUUACGUUUUUUAACUUGGUAAUUAACCUCAAUUGGCAUCUGUAAACUUUAUUAGCCACUGUAUCAAAAUACGGGGUACUACAGUCUUUCCCACUUAAAAUGAAUUCAUCCUCGAAUUUAAAUCGACGUAGGGUGAAUAAUCAAAGUUCUGAAGUUUUGCCACAUCACUUUCGUCAGGCAUUCUUAACAUAGAAUCUUGGUUUAUGCAUCAUAUUGACUUCCAACCUUAUAGAAAACUCGACAAUUUCAUAGUAUAUAAUCAUGUGUACUACUCUUAUUAGAUCAAAACAAUAUCAUCCUUCAUCUUAUGAAGAGAAUUCAAAUAAGCUAUUAAUUCUGGUCGCACCUCAAUCAAAUCAUCCUUAAAUCAUCAAUUAUGCAUGUUUACUUAACCAUCCGCAACUCCUCUACCUUGCUCCUUUAUCAAACCUUCCAAUAUUCAAGCAUUUAGUCCACCAUUGACUAUGGGUCUAAUUUGUCAACCAAUCUCUAUUUCAUUUUUCAUUUUCUCAUACAAAUUUCAUUUAAGCAUUUCACAAUAUAUAAGGAUCAAAUGCUCUUUAUUCAUUUCAUCUAUUUUUUUAAUAUCAAAGAUGAUUCAAAUCUAGUAACCAUUAGUCAUCAUAUUCCCAAAAACAAACUCCAAUUCUUUCAUGAUCGAGUGCUCACUAGAUAAAUCUCAACUUAUACCACAAGGCAUUUCAAUAAAUCAUGACAUUCCACAUACCCCCUUAUAAUCUUAACCAAUCUCUUUAAUCAAUAACUCAACCUCUUAAGAUUAAAGUUGCUCAAAAUUUUCCCUUUAAAGUUCAUUUCCAAGUCUCAUUUUGAUUACUAAUCAUUUCUAUAUUUCCAAUGUCAUAGCUAAUUUGCUCGUCAUCAAUCACCUACAACAUAUCUAACUUGAUAUUUCUCAAAUUUACUCCAAACAUCAGAUCUCAUGGCCUCAUUAGUUAUCAAUCUGAAGAUCAAAUUAAACAUUUAUCUCUCCUUAAGUGCACUUUAAAAGUUAAGAAUCAUCUAUUAAGACCUUUAUGAUAUUAACUUCUUUUAGUCCUUUUUACCUUAGAAAAUUAAAUCUGUAAUCAUUCAUUUUGAAUCAUGAGCUUUAUACCAAUCAAGGUAGAUUUUACACUUUUAAUUAUACGAAUUCAAAUGCACACCUUUACGCAUAAGCUAUAAACUUUUCCCCACAUCUUUAUAUAUCAAAACUAUAUAUAUUGAAGUUAUACCAAAACUGAUACAUCAUUUUCCAUUGCCCCUUAGGAUAUUAAAUUCAUGUCAUACUUCUCUAUUUGUGUACUUCAUAAUAACCUAACAAUUUCUAGCUCACAGUUAAGCUAGUUCAUAUGCCAAGCCUCUCAGGCUAUAUCAAAACACCAAGUUUUAUCACAAUAUAAUAGAAUUUGAUGAACUCAUACCAAAAGUAUAAAUACUUACUUUUAAGCUAACAACAUUAUAAUCCACUUGUUCACUACCAAAAUCAAUGAUAAAUUAUCUUAAUCAUUGUCUAGCACUAUAACCAUUGAUACAAUAUCGUCAUCGAAUCAAAUUAUAACUAACUCCGCAUGAGCUUUUAUACCAAUAUGCAACAUAUAUAUUUUCAAAAAUUUUAACUUCAAAUAGCCUUAGGCAUAUCAAGCUCAAUAAGCCAUCUGUAAAACCAAAAUAACCAACAAUCAAGUUUAGAAUCAUUUCUUCUCUUGGUUGGCUAGAUCAUGCUCAUCAUUUGUGGUGAAUACACAAAGCUGAUUUCAAUAUUCCAUUCUCAUACAAGAGUCAACCACUAAUUGGCAACAUCUCCAAACACCAUGUGUUUUAUAAGUCGACUUUCUUAAUCAAAAUUCAUAUUGUAGUAUUCCAACUUUAGGUCAUGUCUCAUUACCAAAUCUUUACUCGUAUACGAGUACUUGAAUUCUUAAAUCAUCAUCUUUUUUCUAAGUAGAUCUUUGUAAUUCCCGUAGCGUAUUUCUAUUUCCUCAUGUCAAACCCUAUUCUAUAAAAUAAUUACAACGUCAUUUACAUGCUCAAUAGAAUGUUUGCAUAUUUAGGAAGUUCGAGGAAUCGUUAAAAGAUGAUAUUGCCCCUAAUGGUACUAUUGAGUCAAUUAAGCCUCGAACUAGUUCAAAUAGGAAUUUUAAGGUGAAAUUAAGAGUUUCACAGUUUAGGGAUGACUCAAAAUGGUAAUUCGGAGUUCGAGGAUCAAUUCGGAGUCAAAUCAAAAUUUUAACUAUUUAGGGGUAAAAUGGUCAUUUGCCACUUGGGGACAAAAUGAAAAUUUUUAGAAAAGAUUUUUUUACCUUAUUUAACUUAUUGGAGUAUGAUUUGAGUAUUGGAGUAUAAUUUGAGGGUUUGGCAGUGAAAAAGUUUAAUUCCAGUGAUUUCUGGAGUGUAGGGGCAAAAUCGUAAUUUUUCUACUCGCGAACAAAAUUUUAGAUUUUGAGAGAAUUUAGAUCACAUUUGACAAAUUGGAGAAUGGUAUGAGUAUAAGGGAUGAAAAAUAUGUCUAUGGGCAAUUUUUCAGUUUUUGGGNNNNNNNNNNNNNNNNNNNNNNNNNNNNNNNNNNNNNNNNNNNNNNNNNNNNNNNNNNNNNNNNNNNNNNNNNNNNNNNNNNNNNNNNNNNNNNNNNNNNNNNNNNNNNNNNNNNNNNNNNNNNNNNNNNNNNNNNNNNNNNNNNNNNNNNNNNNNNNNNNNNNNNNNNNNNNNNNNNNNNNNNNNNNNNNNNNNNNNNNNNNNNNNNNNNNNNNNNNNNNNNNNNNNNNNNNNNNNNNNNNNNNNNNNNNNNNNNNNNNNNNNNNNNNNNNNNNNNNNNNNNNNNNNNNNNNNNNNNNNNNNNNNNNNNNNNNNNNNNNNNNNNNNNNNNNNNNNNNNNNNNNNNNNNNNNNNNNNNNNNNNNNNNNNNNNNNNNNNNNNNNCUUGAGUUUUGGUUGAUUUUAAUUGAAUUAAGUGAUUUUAGUUAGGUUAUAUUGAAACAUAGCAAAAAUAAGCUAGAGAAAUAAUUUUCUCCCAUUGAAACCCAUUAUACCAAAUUUUCUAGGGGAAUAUUGGCUGCUGAUCUUGAUGUUUAUUUGAGGAAUUAUGAUGAAUAAUGAUGAAUUAUGAGCCUAGAAAAAUAAUGGGAAUUUUCGGAGCAAAAAUAUGAAUUUGUACCCACUAAGGGUAUUUUCGUAAUUUGCUAUCGAGACUAAUAAUUUGCACCACCUUGAGGGACAUUAAGUCAAAUUGGGUGUAAUUGAGGUAUAGAAACUGAAAAAAAACUAAUUUGGAGUUUAAACGGACGCGUAUAUCGAUUUAUCGGAUAAAAGAUCGAAAUAGGCUAACACCGCAUUUAAGCAGUAGUCGGAUAAGUUGCAUAUCAUAUCAUGCAUAUACAUCGAGCCUGAAAUAGCUUAUGACUGUUAGACACAAUUUAAUUGGAAUAUGUGUUAUGGAUUAUGGCUAGGUGGUGAGCCAUUGGAUACGGGUAAAAGAUUGUACCCGCAGACUAAAAAUGGGAGUAUUUCUACUCCUAAUACUGUGAGUGGACAACUUAUCGUCUUAAAUAUCUAGAGUUAUUAUACUUGUUUGAUGCUUUUAUUGAAUGGUGAGUUUAAAUUAUAAAAUAUUAUGCUUUCCAAUUAAAAUGUUUUUUAAUAAAAAUGAGAUUUAUACUGGUUUUGAAAUCAAAUAUUGUUUUGGGAAAAUUGAGUAUAUGGAGACUGUGUUGAAAUUUAUGAUUUUAUAUGUUAUUGAAAUUGUGACUUAUGAUACUAUGGUAGCAUGAUGGCUAAAUUUUUUGGGUUAGCAUGAAAUAUAUGAACAGUUUUGGAUUGGUCUCGGUAGACUGGAUUACAUUUUAUUCGUCAUAUUAUGCUACUGAAAUUUUUAUGGGUUUGGUGGUAUAUUAAACGGUCACUGCAGUGGUGGGGGUUUCCGUGGACUGCCUAUGAGAGUGGUACGGUAACCCAAUUAUAUAAUUACCUCCGGGGGGAGAUGUUGGAUGAAGUAUCUCCUGAGGUAAGAUUUGAGUGCACCUCACGUUCAAGCCACCACGUGAGAGUGAGACUCAGCCAACGCCAAGGAACAGCUGUGUGUCAGAUGUGAAAACAUCUUUAUGGGUAUGAGUCAUUUAACAGCCUUGGCGAUCUCAGUGGGAUACCUUGACGAGGGUACUCGCGAGAAUGAUUCUGGCAAGGGCCAAGUUUAAGAAAUUCAUAAGCCGAGAAAUUUUGAUGAAAAGAAAUUGUUUGGUAUAGAUUGAAACAAAUUUUGUGUUAUGAACAUUUUUGAGAUAUAACGUUUUUUUAUUGUCUCCAUCUACUCAGCUUUAGAUGCUUUUGAUGGUAAUUGUUUACUCACUAGGAUUAUGUAAUCAUAAUCUCACCCCUCUUCCUAUCCAUUUUUCAGGCUCAGGACAAUUUGUUGAUAGUUGAUUAAGACGAGAAUUAAUCUCAGAGUUGCAUCCUAGAAAGUAAGGGUUCGUAGCCCUACAUCUUCUUAGUCAGUUGGGGGCCCACGUGUCACUGUAAAAAUAAUUUUAUUCUUCAGUUAUUUGAUUUUAAGUAUGUAUGAAUAUAUUUAGCUUUUACACCAUGUUUUUGGUGAGUUUCGGUAUUUUCGAAGAAAAAUGAUGAAAAUGCCCCUGUGAGCCA